rnacentral:rRNA from 1 species
GACGAACCGUGCGAACGUUGUUCGGAAUCACUGGGCUUAAAGGGCGCGCAGGCGGUCGUUCAAGUCGAGUGUGAAAGCCCCCGGCUCAACUGGGGAGGGUCAUUCGAUACUGAUCGACUCGAAGGCAGGAGAGGGAAGUGGAAUUCCCGGUGUAGUGGUGAAAUGCGUAGGAUAUCGGGAAGGAACACCAGUGGCGAAGGCGACUUCCUGGCCUGUUCUUGACGCUGAGGCGCGGAAAGCUAGGGGAGCAAACGGG